UAGUGUGUAGCUCAGUGGUAGAGCACUUGUUUAGCAUGAAUGGGGCCCUGGGUUCAAUCCCCAGCACUUCAA
rnacentral:tRNA from 1 species